CCGCGCGCGGGCGGGGGCGCGGGGCGGCCAUGGUGGCUCUGGGGCUGCGCCGACCCGCCGUGACUCACCGCUGCGCCGGGGGGCAGCGCGGCCCUACACGCACCUGAGAGCCGCGCCGGAGCUGCCGAAGCCUCUGUUCAGCUCCCUAUGCCCGGCUCCCCCCGCCCGCUGCUCGGCCCCGGUUCCCGCGCCGAGCCGGGCGACCCGCAGGGUCCGGUGGGACACCCCGCACGCCCCAGCGGGGCUUGCACGGGACUCGCCGCCGCCCCAUCCCCUGCAGCCUCCGCCCGCCAGGGCUCCUCUAGGCCUCGUCACGCUGCCACCGCGGCCCUGCCCGGACACCGUCAGGCGCCGGUGCCGCGCUCGGCAGAGCCCGCGGUGCGGGGUCGGGGCUGAGACGGCCCUGCGGGACCGGGCCGGGGCUGAGGGGCGUGGGCAGGCCCGGGCCGGGCUCAGCGCGGCGGGCAAGGCCACUGCCCGCCCUCCAGGGCCGUGAGGCGCCGUCGCCAUCUUGACGGGGCGCGGGCGCCGCCGCCGCGCAGGAAAUGGAGGACGCGGGGCCGUGAGGGCACCCGGGCCCCCUCAGCGCGGAGGGCACCGCCGGGCACCCGCGCGGGGCUCCCGCGCGCUACAGCCCAAAGACACGAGAGGAAAAAAGUUGUUUUGAGUCACCUAACAAAAUUUACACUCGGACUCUGUGCCGUACGCAAAGCUCAGGAAUAGUGUUCCUGCUUGGUGUUCUGAGGGCGUUUACAUAAACCCUCUCCUUUGUGCCUGGGAACUUUGCAAAUGAAUUAGUGACCAAUUAUUGCCCCGAACGCACUCCCACGUUCAUGGCCUGGCAAGUACGACACACCAGCAGUGUCCAGCAUCAGUCGUCAUCCUUUUGUUCCAAGUCACACCGUUUUUGUUUAAAAGUCUUUCCCUCCCAGUCCAUCAGUUACAAGAAGGACCCGCCGAGCCCCGGGCUCAGGAAUAAAAUGUGGGGCUGAUCGUGGAGAUGCUUUGGACUGACCUUUCCUCAAGCUGUAAAUCUAAUAUUAUAGCACUAUAGUUAAGUUUCUUUUAUUAGACUAUGAGUAACAAAGUAUGUCUUUUCCUCGUGUUAAGUGCAGCUCAUUUAAGAUGGACUUUACGUGAGUUUAUUUGGGGUUUGUGCGCUGUGUUUGCGUGUCUGUCUGGUGCGUUUAUAAUGAGCUGUAUUUUCCACAGGGCUACACCCACUGUGCAUCAGCACGGAGGUGUGAAAAGGGGACCUCUCAGACCUAUCUCUGCAUAUUACUCUAUAAUGUCUAACAAACUUAUGCCAGGUCUUGUUCUGGCAUUUGUUUCACAGCACUGUAAAAAAUAUCAGCAUCACCAACAAGCUUUGAACCUGUAAUAAUAUUUUUUUCCAUUCAUUACUUUUUUUUGUCUUUACUGUCAUGGUUCAGCAUUAUUUUCGUGGCCUUGGGUUGCCUCAGAUACAUUACAGUCCUGUUCUCAAGUAGUUGCACUUUUAGUUUUCGUGGCUAGAGAUACAGGGAAGAAAAGUAAUGUGUGUAGCUAAGCAAGUGCUCAGAGCUUCUAAAUCAUGACUGUGUCUGCACUGCAUUAAAAAACCCCAAUCAAACAACAGAUCAAUGUCACUCAGAAAGGCUACAGAGACAAAAUCACGUAUCCUCAAUUUUUUCAGCAAAUCUUUUUUUAAAGUACUAGAACCUGGUCUCUCUAUGAGUCAGGAAUUUCAGACCAACAAACCAAUUGUAAUACAACUUUUCUAACUUUUCUUGUGUUUCGCUAGUUGUACUUCUUGAACUGUCCAUGAGGCCAGGAAACUCCAAACUUAACUUUGGUGGAACCUCUAGACUUUCUGUCAGCAAAAGUUUUUGUGACUGAUAGAGAUGGUUAAAUUGCCCUGAACAACGAAUCAUACACUGGACUCUCCCUUACUUGAAAUGGAAAGAGGGUGCAACUGUGAGUGAAAAUGCUUUACUCCAGAAGAGUUACUGCUGGUGGCACAUCAAUUAAUCACCCUCCCAAAGGGAACUGCCUCAGAUACAGCUCCAGUUCUUAUAAUACAGGAUAUUUUUAGCUGUGUUUCGUUAUAAUGGAGGAAAUUCUCCUCCAGCAGAUAGUAAGAGAGUCUUCUAACAGUGUUUAGUUUGUGUACUUGCCCCAAGAAUUAAUUUGGCUUGUUGUAUCUUAGUAAAGCUUGCAAUUCUUGUUUUUCAGGUUCCUCUGAUAUUUAGGCAUAGUCUUGCAGUUAGAGAACAAAAGUGAGAAGCAUGACAUCUAUUCCUGACUCAGUUACUUCCUAGAGAAAACAAAGGAGACAGAGAACAGGCCACAGUCAACUGAGAGCUGACACAACCCCAGUGAAAUCAGCUGCUGUACUGACAGAGGAGAGACUGCUUAACAUUUGUCCACGUCAGUGACAGUUCAGGAAGCAUCACCGGUGAUCGGAAGAGACUUUUGACAUGUAGAAGAUGCCCACGUUUAGAGUCAGGCAAGAAGAACUUCCUCUGCUAAUGCCUGUGUAUGGAGAUAAAACCUGGAUGUGAAGGCACCACGAGGUCAUACCCAGCAUAACCAAUGGCCAGUGUACCAGGCUGAGUGUGGCAUUUUACCCAAAAUACUGCAGAGGAUUUGGGAGAAUGAGCUUUCUAAAUUGAAGCAGGGGUCCUGUGGGUUGAAAUAAACCCUGAUAAUACAGUGGUAUCUCUGGGGUGGCUGGAAAACCCACGUGCACAUUUUGUGUGUUGCACAUAGGUUGUGAUGUGUAACUAAAUUCCUUUUGCCAAUGCCACAAGAGGACAGUGUGUCACUCACUGGUCCUUUGCUUCAGAAAAGAGGCUUAUAAUGGAAAAAUACUGCUAUUAAAAUUACAGGCUUGAGCACUGUUAUAGCCCAAAGUGGCAGAAACAAGCAAUGAGAAGGAAAGAUGUUCCUUCCUGUGUGCUCUGUGGCUUGACCAGCUGCAUAAGGAACAGAAAGGGAGAGUCACCAUCCACUCUGGUGCUCAAGCACAGCCAGGGGAAGACAAUGUGCCCAGUAAAAAGGGACUCUCUCUUGGAAGAGAGCAGGAACAGGCCUGCCUGAAGCACAGCUUAAAUAUUGGAUGAGUUUUUAAAACAAAAUAGGAAGUGAUUCUUGAAGAUCAUAAAGACUGAUGGAGGAGUCAGAGUAAAUCCAAGUCUUUUGGCAUACAUGGAAAUGCUGUUUGAAUUUCUUACCCCACUACAUGAGCAAUGAGACUUCACAUGUCUGAGGCAUUUUUUCCCCAGUGUUUCGUUAUUUGACCAACUUUACAACAUAUUGGGUGUGGAAUCAUAGAAUUGUUAGGCUGGAAAAGACCUUCAAGAUCAUCGAGUCCAACCACUCCCCAGCACUGCCAAGGCCACCAGGUCCCCAGGUGCCACAUCCACAGGAGAAGACAAACAGGUUCCUUGAGUAGAAACAAAGAUCUGCCUAAAAUGUGCCAGUGUUUCCAUUGUGGCCAGUGUUUCAAUUCUAGUUCUUUUAGGAAGACUUUACAAGAAUAGUAAAAAGCAGGAACAACCUAUAAUGUAAUUUUUAAGAGACCUGUCAGCGUAGUUUCUGUUUCAAUGACAGCUAGAGAUGGGGGCAUAAAAUGUUUCUAUAGCCUGCAAAAGGGGACUUCCAAUACACUGCAUGAGGGAUUUAGGCAUCACUGGUGUAUUUGGCACAAAAUAUCAAAUUGUGUGUAUGGACUUCACAGCUGCAGACACCUGGUUUUCAAGACAUCUCUGAUUCCAAGUUGAUGGUAUGACAUAUACUAUAUAUGACUGGCUUGUUUUUAUAUAAACACUGUAAAAGUAGAGAGAGUCACCUAAGAGAAGGAUGGUAUUUGUUAUUCAAUAAAAUGGAGUAAAAAGCCUGUCAUUGCUCAUAAA